rfam:Geobacillus thermodenitrificans NG80-2, complete genome.
AACACCUUUUAAUUAAGUCCAGCGAGGCUUAAAAAGGUGGGAACGAAGCGCAUGGGGCGGAGUCUACCCUCUGCUCCGCCAUGCCUCAAUCGUCACACCUUGCCUUGCCGGCAAGGUGUUUUUUUAU